CUCAAAAGUGUUGAAUGUGUUCGUCUACUGACAUUACAUCAUAAUGCCUUCCCUGUUGACACCAAUGUUGGCUGGAUAUGUGCAAGGCUGGGAUGGGUGCCCAUUCAACCUCUUCCUGAAUCUCUACAAUUACAUCUCCUCGAGCUAGAGGGCUAAAGAGUUGGAUAAGAUGGGCCGGUCUAUUUGUAUUCCAGUAAAGGCUGAACCAACAUGAACACAUUCAGAGUUUUGCUCCCCAGCGAGAUGGUGAGCUCUUCCCUAUUUCCCAGUGGUGCUGCCGAUAAGUGAGAUGUACGUUUUGUUCCUUGGAUAUGCCUGUUCAAAUGUUCAUCAUGUCGUGGUCGUGGCACAUACUCCGAAAGCAAUUCAGUUCGCUCUAGGCCUUACCGAUGGCAUUGUUUAUGUGAUGAUUGGAAGC